rnacentral:rRNA from 1 species
UAUAACGAAAAGAACCUUCCCAUGUCUUCACAUCCUUAGACCUCUCGAGAAAGAGCGUUUUCCUUUGGGGGACAAAGUGACAGGUGGUGCAUGGUUGUCGUCAGCUCGUGUCGUGAGAUGUUGGGUUAAGUCCCGCAACGAGCGCAACCCUUAUUAUUAGUUGCCAGCAUUCAGUUGGGCACUCUAGUGAGACUGCCGGUGACAAACCGGAGGAAGGUGGGGAUGACGUCAAAUCAUCAUGCCCCUUAUGACCUGGGCUACACACGUGCUACAAUGGCAAAUACAACGAGUCGCUAACCCGCGAGGGUACGCAAAUCUCUUAAAGUUUGUCUCAGUUCGGAUUGUAGGCUGCAACUCGCCUACAUGAAGUCGGAAUCGCUAGUAAUCGCGGAUCAGCACGCCGUCGCCC